UGCUAGCUUGCUAAUAAUUCUCUAGUGGCGCACGGGUGAGUAACACGUGAGUAACCUGCCCCCAAGAGUGGGAUAGCCCCGGGAAACUGGGAUUAAUACCGCAUAAAAUCGCAAGAUUAAAGCAGCAAUGCGCUUGGGGAUGGGCUCGCGUCCUAUUAGUUAGUUGGUGAGGUAACGGCUCACCAAGGCGAUGACGGGUAGCCGGUCUGAGAGGAUGUCCGGCCACACUGGAACUGAGACACGGUCCAGACACCUACGGGUGGCAGCAGUCGAGAAUCAUUCACAAUGGGGGAAACCCUGAUGGUGCGACGCCGCGUGGGGGAAUGAAGGUCUUCGGAUUGUAAACCCCUGUCAUGUGGGAGCAAAUUAAAAAGAUAGUACCACAAGAGGAAGAGACGGCUAACUCUGUGCCAGCAGCCGCGGUAAUACAGAGGUCUCAAGCGUUGUUCGGAAUCACUGGGCGUAAAGCGUGCGUAGGCGGUUUCGUAAGUCGUGUGUGAAAGGCGGGGGCUCAACCCCCGGACUGCACAUGAUACUGCGAGACUAGAGUAAUGGAGGGGGAACCGGAAUUCUCGGUGUAGCAGUGAAAUGCGUAGAUAUCGAGAGGAACACUCGUGGCGAAGGCGGGUUCCUGGACAUUAACUGACGCUGAGGCACGAAGGCCAGGGGAGCGAAAGGGAUUAGAUACCCCUGUAGUCCUGGCAGUAA
rnacentral:rRNA from 1 species